rnacentral:rRNA from 1 species
GAUGAACGCUGGCGGCGUGCCUAAUACAUGCAAGUCGAGCGAACAGAUGAGGAGCUUGCUCCUCUGACGUUAGCGGCGGACGGGUGAGUAACACGUGGAUAACCUACCUAUAAGACUGGGAUAACUUCGGGAAACCGGAGCUAAUACCGGAUAAUAUAUUGAACCGCAUGGUUCAAUAGUGAAAGACGGUUUUGCUGUCACUUAUAGAUGGAUCCGCGCCGCAUUAGCUAGUUGGUAAGGUAACGGCCUACCAAGGCAACGAUGCGUAGCCGACCUGAGAGGGUGAUCGGCCACACUGGAACUGAGACACGGUCCAGACUCCUACGGGAGGCAGCAGUAGGGAAUCUUCCGCAAUGGGCGAAAGCCUGACGGAGCAACGCCGCGUGAGUGAUGAAGGUCUUCGGAUCGUAAAACUCUGUUAUUAGGGAAGAACAAAUGUGUAAGUAACUAUGCACGUCUUGACGGUACCUAAUCAGAAAGCCACGGCUAACUACGU